AGCGAACCAGCAGGGGCCGAAGAACCGUGCAGUGCCAGAGCCAGAGCUGGAUCCGGGGCCCCAGCCGGAGCCGAAACCUGAGCCAGAGUCCGCGGCGGGCGAGCCCGGAGCCCACGAGCCGCAGACGCAGCGCUGCCCAGGAGAAGUGGGCAGGAGAGAGGGCCGCCCGCUGCUCCCCGCUGCGUCCAGGGAUGGAGGGCCCCACCACCCAUGGAAUUGCUGGCCCCUCUGCGUGGCCCGGGACUUCAGCCGUGGCUUCGCGUCAAGAGGGUAUUUUUCCUAAACGAAACCGCUUCGUUCGUUCGUUCGUUCGUUCGUUCGGGCAGCAAUGCCGCAGAAAAGCAGCAGACGUCGGUCCGCGCCCUGGCUCUCUUCGCCCCGGACCCCGACGUCCCGCCGCAGCGCUCGGAGGUGCCCCCAGCCCAAGGCAGCCUGCUCUCGCCGGCACAGGUCGGGCUUUUUCUUCCCAGGAGAGAAACCCCAAUUCCCUUCGUAACGUCCAAUAAAGACAUUCCCGCGGC
rnacentral:lncRNA from 1 species